CAUGUUUCAGAAAUGACUGAUCUAUAGAGUAAUUUUCUCCUCUUCAAAAGAACCCAGUGAAGUAGGCAAAAUGGAGUUUGUCAUUUUUACCUGACAGGAAAGGAAACCAGGCCAAAAGAAGAUGGUUUGUUGGUUCAUAUGGCCAGUGGCUGUUGCUACUCAGAGCAGAACCCAGGUGUGUCAAACACAAACCCUCGAUGAUCCUGAAACCGCCUCUACUUCUUGCUGUAACCGGGUUCUGCCUGCGCUGUUGCUUCAUGCUGCUCUUCAAGGCUCACCUGGCUGUCUGAUGCCUAUCUCGCCUUGCCCAAAGCACUACGGUUUGUAAUAUCCUGCAUUUACUCAUUAAAAUACACCAACUGGUAUCCGUUUGAGUAUUCUCAAAUUCUCAACAUCAUUACCAUCAGCAUGCUUACUGUGUCUUGGGAAGCACAUGUUUAAAAAGCAAAACAUCCUGAAUAUUAAGAAUAAGAUGCAUUGCACUGUUUACUCCUACAAUUCUGGUCUACAGUAGAGUAUAACCGAGCAUCUAAUUUAGCACAGAGUUUGUGACCAUCGUAUUAAAUUUAACACAGCGCUAUGUGAUCCUGUUCUAUCAAGAAUGCUAUGAUUUCUAGGAACUUUGCCAGGCCGUAUGAUUUCUAGGAAUCAGUGGACUUCACAAACAAAAUGGUCAAUUUGCCCUGUUCAACUCAGCCUUCCUAAUAUGG
rnacentral:lncRNA from 1 species